rnacentral:rRNA from 1 species
AUUGAACGCUGGCGGCAGGCCUAACACAUGCAAGUCGAGCGGAGCGGCGGACGGGUGAGUAAUGCCUAGGAAUCUGCCUGGUAGUGGGGGAUAACGUCCGGAAACGGGCGCUAAUAACGCAUACUUUCAGAUGAGCCUAGGUCGGUUUAGCUAGUUGGUGGGGUAAAGGCUUACCAAGGCGACGAUCCGUAACGGGUCUGAGAGGAUGAUCAGUCACACUGGAACUUAUACCAGGUCCAGAAUCCUACGGUAGGCAGCAGUGGGGAAUAGUGGACAAGGGGCGAAAGCCUGAUCCAGCCAUGCCGCGUGUAUGAAGAAGGCUUUCGGAUUGUAAAGCACUUUAAGUUGGGAGGCGUUACCAACAGAAUAAGCACCGGCUAACUUCGUGCCAGCAGCCGCGGUAAUAC